rnacentral:rRNA from 1 species
UGAUGCGCGCUUAACAUGCAAGUCGAACGGUAACAGGGAGCUUGCUCCGCUGACGAGUGGCGAACGGGUGAGUAAUACAUCGGAACGUGCCCAGUAAUGGGGGAUAGCUCGGCGAAAGCCGGAUUAAUACCGCAUACGCCCUGAGGGGGAAAGUGGGGGACCGCAAGGCCUCACGUUAUUGGAGCGGCCGAUGGCUGAUUAGCUAGUUGGUAGGGUAAAGGCCUACCAAGGCGACGAUCAGUAGCUGGUCUGAGAGGACGAUCAGCCACACUGGGACUGAGACACGGCCCAGACUCCUACGGGAGGCAGCAGUGGGGAAUUUUGGACAAUGGGGGAAACCCUGAUCCAGCAAUGCCGCGUGUGCGAAGAAGGCCUUCGGGUUGUAAAGCACUUUUGUCAGGGAAGAAAUCCUUUGGGCUAAUACCCUAGGGGGAUGACGGUACCUGAAGAAUAAGCACCGGCUAACUACGUGCCAGCAGCCGCGGUAAUACGUAGGGUGCAAGCGUUAAUCGGAAUUACUGGGCGUAAAGCGUGCGCAGGCGGUUGUGUAAGACAGGUGUGAAAUCCCCGGGCUUAACCUGGGAAUUGCAUUUGUGACUGCACGACUAGA